AAUUGGUGAUGGGGAUAUUGGCUUAUAAGAAGAUUAUAACGUUCCCAAGCUUCAUUAAACAAUUUACCAUGUUGCAAUCAAAAAGUGGAUCUUGUCCCUUAAUUU